rnacentral:rRNA from 1 species
GAUGAACGCUAGCUACAGGCUUAACACAUGCAAGUCGAGGGGAAACGAUAGAGAAAGCUUGCUUUUUCUAGGCGUCGACCGGCGCACGGGUGAGUAACGCGUAUCCAACCUGCCCAUCACUUGGGGAUAACCUUGCGAAAGUAAGACUAAUACCCAAUGAUAUCUCUAGAAGACAUCUGAAAGAGAUUAAAGAUUUAUCGGUGAUGGAUGGGGAUGCGUCUGAUUAGCUUGUUGGCGGGGUAACGGCCCACCAAGGCGACGAUCAGUAGGGGUUCUGAGAGGAAGGUCCCCCACAUUGGAACUGAGACACGGUCCAAACUCCUACGGGAGGCAGCAGUGAGGAAUAUUGGUCAAUGGACGAGAGUCUGAACCAGCCAAGUAGCGUGAAGGAUGAAGGUCCUACGGAUUGUAAACUUCUUUUAUAAGGGAAUAAAACCUCCCACGUGUGGGAGCUUGUAUGUACCUUAUGAAUAAGCAUCGGCUAACUCCGUGCCAGCAGCCG